rnacentral:rRNA from 1 species
UACGUAGGUGGCAAGCGUUGUCCGGAUUUACUGGGCGUAAAGGGCGCGUAGGCGGCUGCUCAAGUCGGGUGUGAAAGCCCGGGGCUCAACCCCGGAAUUGCCUUUAAGACUGCAUCGCUAGAAUCCGGGAGAGGUGAGUGGAAUUCCGAGUGUAGAGGUGAAAUUCGUAGAUAUUCGGGAAGAAACACCAGUGGCCGAAGGCGGCUCACUGGACCGGUAUUGACGCGUGAGGUGGCGAAAGCGUGGGGAGCAA